AUUGAACGCUGGCGGCAGGCCUAACACAUGCAAGUCGAGCGAGCGGCGGACGGGUGAGUAAUGUCUGGGAAACUGCCUGAUGGAGGGGGGUAAAUACUGGGAACAGUAUCUAAUACCGCAUACCAUCAGAUGUGCCCAGAUGGGAUUAGCUCGUAGGUGGGGGAACGGCGCACCUAGGCGACGAUCCCUAGCUGGUCUGAGAGGAUGAACAGCCACACGGGAACGGAGACACGGUCCAGACUCCUACGGGAGGCAGCAGGGGGGAAUAUUGCACAAUGGGCGCAAGCCUGAUGCAGCCAUGCCGCGUGUGUGAAGAAGGCCUUCGGGUUGUAAAGCACUUUCAGCGGGGAGGCGUUACCCGCAGAAGAAGCACCGGCUAACUCCGUGCCAGCAGCCGCGGUAAUUC
rnacentral:rRNA from 1 species